GUCAAUCCUUCUGAUUGAAUCCUUUCCAGAGGUUUUAAUUUGCUUUGCCCAGAUUCAUCAGAGCAAUCACCAUCUAUGGCAACUAUAGCCUUAGAAAAUACAUUUCUUAAAUAAUAGCACUUGAAAUCAAAUUUAUUCCUUGUGCCAUGGGCUGCAGAAUGGAUGUUGUAAUAGAAGGCAUGAAAACAACAUUAAUCUCCCUGUACAUCUCUGUCAGAGCUCUUGGGUAACUGGGAGAAUUGCCAAUAAGAAGUAAUAUUUUGAAAAAUAUCUUGAUUUUGUGAACAGUAGGUCUCAACAGUAGGCUUAAAAUAUUCAGUACACCAUGCUAUAAACAGAUGUGCUGUCAUUCAGGCUUUGUUAUUCUGUUUCUAGAGCAUAGGAAUAGAUUUAACAUAAUUUUUAAGGGCCCUAGAAUUUUUGGAAUGGUAAAUAAACAAUGGCUUCAACUUUGAGGUUCCAGGAUCACUAGCCUCUAUCAAAAGAGUCGGA